UUCCGUAGGUGAACCUGCGGAAGGAUCAUUACUGAGUGAGGGUUCCUUCGGGGCCCAACCUCCCACCCUUGUAUACCGUACCAAGUUGCUUCGGCGGGCCCGCCGUUCGCGCGGCCGCCGGGGGGGAACCCCUCCCCCCGGGCGAGCGCCCGCCGGAGACCCCAACGUGAACACUGUCUGAAGUUUUGUCGUCUGAGUUCGAUUGUAUCGCAAUCAGUUAAAACUUUCAACAAUGGAUCUCUUGGUUCCGGCAUCGAUGAAGAACGCAGCGAAAUGCGAUAAUUAAUGUGAAUUGCAGAAUUCAGUGAAUCAUCGAGUCUUUGAACGCACAUUGCACCCCCUGGUAUUCCGGGGGGUAUGCCUGUCCGAGCGUCAUUGCUGCCCUCAAGCCCGGCUUGUGUGUUGGGCCCUCGUCCCCCCCGGGGGACGGGCCCGAAAGGCAGCGGCGGCACCGCGUCCGGUCCUCGAGCGUAUGGGGCUUUGUCACACCGCUCUCGUAGGCCCGGCCGGCGCUGGCCGACGCUGAAAAGCAACCAUUAUUUCUCCAGGUUGACCUCGGAUCAGGUAGGGAUACCCGCUGAACUUAAG
rnacentral:rRNA from 1 species